rnacentral:rRNA from 1 species
GGCGGACGGGUGAGUAACGCGUGGGCAACCUGCCUCAUACCGGGGGAUAACAGCUGGAAACGACUGUUAAUACCGCAUAAGCGCACAGUGUCGCAUGACACAGUGUGAAAAACUCCGGUGGUAUGAGAUGGGCCCGCGUCAGAUUAGCCAGUUGGCGGGGUAACGGCCCACCAAAGCGACGAUCUGUAGCCGGCCUGAGAGGGCGGACGGCCACAUUGGGACUGAGACACGGCCCAAACUCCUACGGGAGGCAGCAGUGGGGGAUAUUGCACAAUGGAGGAAACUCUGAUGCAGCGACGCCGCGUGAGUGAAGAAGUAUUUCGGUAUGUAAAGCUCUAUCAGCAGGGAAGAAAGGCUCGUAAGAGAGAUGACGGUACCUGACUAAGAAGCCCCGGCUAACUACGUGCCAGCAGCCGC